AAUGAUGUGUGCUCAGAAUUGGUUAUGGAGUGAAAUCAACGGUUCUUCAACUAUGUCCGGAGAUUGUACCGUUCAAACAAUUCUUGAUGAUGGGGAGCCUAAUGAAGAGGAUGGGAGUUGUGUCACAAUUAUGGAUGAUUAGACAUUUUGUAAUAAUUUAGUAGCCAUUUUAAUUUCUUAAACUUGUUGGAUUAAUUUGUUGGUUUGUAAUUAUUUUAAGCCUUUUUAGCAUUUUGUAAUUUUUUAGCCUUUUUAAUUUGUUGGUUUGUGGAGGAUAAGACAUUUUGUAAUUUCUUACACUUGUAGGAUUUGUUUUGUAACUUUUUAUUUUUGAAUUUCUUGAACUUGUUGGACUUUUGAUACUUAGUUCUUGGACUUAUUGGAUUUAUUUUAUUUUUAUGUUUAGUUGGUGAUUUUA